rnacentral:lncRNA from 1 species
GAGAUCUAAUUAUUGGCCACAACUUAAGCUAAUAGAAUGCCUGGUUUCAACAAACACAGAAUCAAGAAGAACAGAAAGAAGUAAAAAGAAGAGAGAAACCUGAAAAGCAGGAGUAAACCCUCUGACUACAAAGGUUGAGGAGUGUUAUGCUCAAGUACAGAUGUUUGCCACGUACUUGUUAAAUAUUCAUUUUAUUGUUCAUGAGCUGCAAGUCGGAGUGGAGUUCAAAAGAGAAUACGUCGCAUCUCCAGUAACAUAUACUGGAGUAGAGGGAGAUCUAAAACAAAGAGGGACAGAAAUAUUAAGCUCAAGCAUCAAGGGCCUUGAUGAUAUCAUCAACACUUGAAACUGUGAAGUCUCCACCCUCUUCAAUGUUUGCAGCCUUCACCUUGAGGUCAUCGACCAGUAGAGCAAACCUCCUUGACCUGAUCCCUAGUCCCUUCUCUUUUAGGUCAAGCUCAACACCCAGAGCAUGGG